GAUGAACGCUGGCGGCGUGCCUAAUACAUGCAAGUCGAGCGAACGGACGAGAAGCUUGCUUCUCUGAUGUUAGCGGCGGACGGGUGAGUAACACGUGGAUAACCUACCUAUAAGACUGGGAUAACUUCGGGAAACCGGAGCUAAUACCGGAUAAUAUUUUGAACCGCAUGGUUCAAAAGUGAAAGACGGUCUUGCUGUCACUUAUAGAUGGAUCCGCGCUGCAUUAGCUAGUUGGUAAGGUAACGGCUUACCAAGGCAACGAUGCAUAGCCGACCUGAGAGGGUGAUCGGCCACACUGGAACGGAGACACGGGCCAGACUCCUACGGGAGGCAGCAGUAGGGAAUCUUCCGCAAUGGGCGAAAGCCUGACGGAGCAACGCCGCGUGAGUGAUGAAGGUCUUCGGAUCGUAAAACUCUGUUAUUAGGGAAGAACAUAUGUGUAAGUAACUGUGCACAUCUUGACGGUACCUAAUCAGAAAGCCACGGCUAACUACGUG
rnacentral:rRNA from 1 species